UGCAUCUUGGAUGAUUUUCUGGAUGUCCAUCUUAACAGAAAUCAGUCCAAAAAGACAGAAGGGGAACAAAGAAGCAAAUGAAAACUUGUUUAGGAGCCCAUUUGAGUUUCGCCACAAAGCAGAGAUUUAAGUCAAUAACGCGGCUCUUCUCCGGAUUAUGGAUCAAUAGAGGCAAACGCUCUGUGUGGUCUGUACCUGCUAUAAAAGGCUGGCUUGCAUACUGGCAGUAGCUGGGGACAUGAUGGGCAUAGGCACCGUAGCAGGGGGUGGAGGCAUCUACUGACACGCUGGGCUGGAGGGGCAACAGUUCCGCUAGACCCGA